GACGGGGGAUGCAAGUGUUAUCCGGAAUCACUGGGCGUAAAGCGUCUGCAGGUGGUUUCCUAAGUCCACUGUUAAACCUUGAGGCUCAACCUCAAAUCUGCAUUGGAAACUAGGAGACUUGAGUAUAGUAGGGGUGGAGGGAAUUUCCAGUGGAGCGGUGAAAUGCGUAGAUAUUGGAAAGAACACCGAUGGCGAAGGCACUCUACUGGGCUAUUACUGACACUCAGAGACGAAAGCUAGGGGAGCAAAUGGG
rnacentral:rRNA from 1 species